rnacentral:ncRNA from 1 species
GCAGAGUAAAUGUUGUGCGUAAAGUGCCGCAGGAUGGAAUGUCGCCUGCGGACGAAGGAAUUAUUCCGCGGUACAACAUUGCAUUCGCUGU